rnacentral:tRNA from 1 species
AGAGGUGGUAGACCCACAGAGGAACUGCUAAUUCCUUAAUCCAGGUUUAACCUCCUGGCCUCCU